UACGUAGGGUGCGAGCGUUAAUCGGAAUUACUGGGCGUAAAGCGUGCGCAGGCGGUUGGGUAAGACAGAUGGGAAAUCCCCGGGCUCAACCUGGGAACUGCAUUUGUGACUGCACGGCUCGAGUGCGGCAGAGGGGGAUGGAAUUCCGCGUGUAGCAGUGAAAUGCGUAGAUAUGCGGAGGAACACCGAUGGCGAAGGCAAUCCCCUGGGCCUGCACUGACGCUCAUGCACGAAAGCGUGGGGAGCAAACAGG
rnacentral:rRNA from 1 species